UACGUAGGGUGCAAGCGUUGUCCGGAAUCAUUGGGCGUAAAGAGCGUGUAGGCGGCCUGAUCAGUCCGCUGUAAAAGUCCAGGGCUCAACCCUGGAAAGCCGGUGGAUACUGUCAGGCUAGAGUCCGGAAGGGGCGAGUGGAAUUCCUGGUGUAGCGGUGAAAUGCGCAGAUAUCAGGAGGAACACCGAUGGCGAAGGCAGCUCGCUGGGACGGUACUGACGCUGAGACGCGAAAGCGUGGGGAG
rnacentral:rRNA from 1 species